rnacentral:rRNA from 1 species
AGUGAACGCUGGCGGUAGGCCUAACACAUGCAAGUCGAACGGCAGCACAGUAAGAGCUUGCUCUUACGGGUGGCGAGUGGCGGACGGGUGAGGAAUACAUCGGAAUCUACUUUUUCGUGGGGGAUAACGUAGGGAAACUUACGCUAAUACCGCAUACGACCUACGGGUGAAAGCAGGGGAUCUUCGGACCUUGCGCGAUUGAAUGAGCCGAUGUCGGAUUAGCUAGUUGGCGGGGUAAAGGCCCACCAAGGCGACGAUCCGUAGCUGGUCUGAGAGGAUGAUCGGCCACACUGGAACUGAGACACGGUCCAGACUCCUACGGGAGGCAGGAGUGGGGAAUAUUGGACAGGGGGCGCAAGGCUGAUCCAGCCAUGCCGGGUGGGUGAAGAAGGCCUUCGGGUUGUAAAGCCCUUUUGUUGGGAAAGAAAAGCAGCAGGUUAAUACCCCGCUGUUCUGACGGUACCCAAAGAAUAGGCACCGGCUAACUUCGU